GGCUCAGGAUGAACGCUGGCGGCGUGCCUAAUACAUGCAAGUCGAACGAGGAGCCUCACAUCUUCGGAUGAGGGGAUUUCCUAGUGGCGGACGGGUGCGUAACACGUGGGUGACCUGCCCCGAAGUGGGGAAUAACUCCGCGAAAGCGGAGCUAAUACCGCAUGUUGUCGCGCGAGUUAGAGGUCGCGCGUCUAAAGAUUUCGGUCGCUUCGGGAGGGGCCCGCGGCCCAUCAGCUAGUUGGUGGGGUAAUGGCUCACCAAGGCUAUGACGGGUAGGGGACCUGAGAGGGUGAUCCCCCACACUGGAACUGAGACACGGUCCAGACACCUACGGGUGGCAGCAGUAGGGAAUAUUGCACAAUGGGCGCAAGCCUGAUGCAGCAACGCCGCGUGCGCGAUGAAGGCCUUCGGGUUGUAAAGCGCUUUUCGGAGGGAUGAAUCAAGACAGUACCUCCAGAACAAGGAUCGGCUAACUACGUGCCAGCAGCCGCGGUAAAACGUAGGAUCCAAGCGUUAUCCGGAAUUACUGGGCGUAAAGGGCGUGUAGGCGGCUUGGCAAGUCGGUCAUGAAAGCUCCCGGCUCAACUGGGAGAGGUUGUCCGAUACUGCCAGGCUAGAGGGCAAGAGAGGGAGGUGGAAUUCCCGGUGUAGUGGUGAAAUGCGUAGAUAUCGGGAGGAACACCAGUGGCGAAGGCGGCCUCCUGGCUUGUGCCUGACGCUGAGACACGAAAGCGUGGGGAGCGAACGGGAUUAGAAACCCCGGUAGUCCACGCCGUAAACGAUGUCAACUAGGUGUUGGUGGUAUAAAAUCCAUCGGUACCGGAGCUAACGCAUUAAGUUGACCGCCUGGGGACUAAGUAGAGG
rnacentral:rRNA from 1 species